AUAAAUACGUCUAAUUAAAACCUGUUAUUAUUACAGCAGCACCUGAGCCUGAAAGCUCUUCAUUUCUCACUCCUUUGAUUGUUGGACUCGUUUGUGGAAUUUUACUGAUUCUUCUUCUUCUGCUGCUGUUGUGUCGCUUCAAACAAUCAAAGGAUUCAUUCUUUGUCAGGACUCGGAGCACAAAUCAGAGCUCUGCUAUGAACCACAUGAUCAAGGAUGAAGCUCAACACAGUCAACAUGCUUCUACUCUCC